CGUCCGUCCGUCCAUCCAUUGGCUGGCAGGCCAAUUCCUUCCUCCUCCUCUGAGAUUUUACCCUGCAGGGGUUUGAAAGCAAAGAGAAUUGGUGCCGAGGUCUGCAGCUGGAGGCCGUGCAAGCGAAACCACCGCUGAACCAAACCCGCUGGAUGCCGCCAGCGAGGAACGCCGCCCGAAAACCCUGCCCAGGACUCCCCUGAUCUCUCCUCCAGACCCUGGGAAAAGGCUGCGAGCCCAGCAGGUUGCUCUCUCUCUGGCUACCAGCCGCUGCCUUCGCUGUGGGAACGCACCGAGCUGCUCGGCAGCCCGUGCCUGGGGCUCAAAGAUAAUUCUGAAACGCCUCCAGCCUUGGAAUCACGCGGUGAGGGAUGUCCCAAACAGCAGGGGCACAAAGCAGGGGCUGUGCCCAGCACAGGGACCUCUCGGUGAUGCAAGGAAAUCGUUCAGAGUGGAUGAAGUGGACGCCGGGCUCCCAAAAUCUGGCAGGGCUGAAGGUGCUGAAUGCGAUUCUCCGGCUCUGCACCCAGCCAGCAGCUGGCAGCCCGCACGGCUUCCCUUUGCUAGCUCAGAAAAUCAUGUUUUUAGAGCAAAGGGCUGGAAACUGAAGUCAUGUUUUCAAACCGAGUGGCUGGAAACCAGAAGCAGCUGCCGAGAAACGGUGCCAAUGGCCAAAACUCACCCGAAAUGGCUUUCUCUGCUGAGCUCCUCGGCGUGCUGCGAUCUGUAAAGCUGCAGCUGGUUGUGAUUAAAAAGCCAUCGGGAGUUUACAGGGAAGCUCGCAGGAGCAAAUCGUUUCUGCGUGUCCUUGCUGCUCGCACCGCCGUGCCAAAACUGCUGUUUGCUGCGUCUGAAAGGCAAAAAUAAAAAUAAUAAAAAAUAGCA
rnacentral:lncRNA from 1 species